rnacentral:rRNA from 1 species
UACGGGAGGCAGCAGUGGGGGAAUAUUGCACAAUGGGCGCAAGCCUGAUGCAGCCAUGCCGCGUGUAUGAAGAAGGCCUUCGGGUUGUAAAGUACUUUCAGCAGUGAGGAAGGUGGGUAUGUUAAUAGCAUAUUCAUUUGACGUUAGCUGCAGAAGAAGCACCGGCUAACUCCGUGCCAGCAGCCGCGGUAAUACGGAGGGUGCGAGCGUUAAUCGGAAUUACUGGGCGUAAAGCGCAUGCAGGUGGUUGUUAAGUCAGAUGUGAAAGCCCGGGGCUCAACCUCGGAAUUGCAUUUGAAACUGGCAAACUAGAGUACUGUAGAGGGGGUAGAAUUUCAGGUGUAGCGGUGAAAUGCGUAGAGAUCUGAAGGAAUACCGGUGGCGAAGGCGGCCCCCUGGACAGAUACUGACACUCAGAUGCGAAAGCGUGGGGAGCAAACAGGAUUAGAUACCCUGGUAG